UGGGGAAUAUUGCACAAUGGGGGAAACCCUGAUGCAGCAACGCCGCGUGAGCGAAGAAGUAUUUCGGUAUGUAAAGCUCUAUCAGCAGGGAAGAAGAAAGACGGUACCUGACUAAGAAGCCCCGGCUAACUACGUGCCAGCAGCCGCGGUAAUACGUAGGGGGCAAGCGUUAUCCGGAUUUACUGGGUGUAAAGGGAGCGUAGGCGGUCUGCCAAGUCAGAAGUGAAAGCCCGGGGCUCAACUCCGGGACUGCUUUUGAAACUGACGGACUAGAUUGCAGGAGGGGUGAGCGGAAUUCCUAGUGUAGCGGUGAAAUGCGUAGAUAUUAGGAGGAACACCAGUGGCGAAGGCGGCUCACUGGACUGCAAAUGACGCUGAGGCUCGAAAGCGUGGGGAGCAAACAG
rnacentral:rRNA from 1 species